CCUACGGGUGACAGCAGUGAGGAAUAUUGGACAAUGGGCGCGAGCCUGAACCAGCGAAGUAGCGUGAAGGAUGACUGCCCUACGGGUUGUAAACUUCUUUUAUAAAGGAAUAAAGUGAGGCACGUGUGCCUUUUUAGAUGUACUUUAUGAAUAAGGAUCGGCUAACCCCGUUCCAGCAGCCGCGGUAAUACGGAGGAGCCGAGCGUUGUCCGGAUUUAUUGGGUUUAAAGGGAGCGUAGAGGGGUUGUUAAGUCGGGUGUGAAAGUUUGCGGCUCAACCGUAAAAUUGCAAUUGAUACUGGCAGUCUUGAGUACAGUUGAGGUAGGCGGAAUUCGUGGUGUAGCGGUGAAAUGCUUAGAUAUCACGAAGAACUCUGAUGGCGAAGGCAGCUUACUAGACUGCCACUGACAUUGAGGCUCGAAAGUGUGGGUAUCAAACAGGAUUAGAUACCCGAGUAGUC
rnacentral:rRNA from 1 species